UUGGACGGCCUCGCGCCUUCGCUCACGUAGUUUCACGUAGUUUCGCGUCAGCGCUGACGAUGCAGUGCCGAAAAUGUCGACCGGACCAAACCUGAUCGAGCAGUCCGCCUUAAAUCAAGUUUACCUCAACUGCACAGAUCUGAGCCGCCAUCUGUCCCCCGCAUGCCAGGAGAGGUCGUGGCGCUCAGACCCGCUGGACGAGCUCCGCCCUUCAUCUGCCCCGGCGUGACGGGGGAGGAGCCUGAUUGAGCAAAACGUGAGAGGUGUGUGUUUGUGUGUGUGUGUGUGUGUGUUUAUGUCUACAGUGCACGAAACUGUAAUAUGGUUGCAUUCUGUAUUCUUUUGACAUUGUAAAUGCACGUCUCGAAGUUUUGGAGGCAAAAUGUUCCUUAUUUUUUUAUAUUUAUUUACAAUGUAAUAAUUUUUCAAAAAUAGUCGUGUAAUUUUCCAUAAAUAUUUAAGUGUUCCCGUCACUUAUACUGCUGUAUUUUCUGCAUUAUUUGUGAAUAUUUAAUUUAGUAUUGCAUAUAUAUGAGACACAGACACAUAUAUACAGGACUGUCUCAGAAAAUUAGAAUAUUGUGAUGAAGUUCUUUAUUUUCUGUAAUGCAAUUAAAAAAACAAAUGUCAUGCAUUCUGGAUUCAUUACAAAUCAACUGAAAUAUUGCAAGACUUUUAUUCUUUUAAUAUUGCUGAUUAUGGCUUACAGCUUAAGAAAACUCUAAAAUCCUAUCUCAUAAAAUUUUAAUAUUUCCUCAGACCAAGUUAAAAAAAAGAUUUAUAACAGCUGAGUGUUUGUCAAGGCUCAGGAAAGCCUUGCAGGUGUUUCGAGUUAAUUAGACAAUUCAAGUGAUUUGUUUAAUACCCUACUAGUAUACUUUUUCAUGAUAUUCUAAUAUUUAGAGAUAGGAUAUUUGAGUUUUCUUAAACUGUAAGCCAUAAUCAGCUAUAUUAAAAGAAUAAAAGGCUUGCAAUAUUUCAGUUGAUUUGUAAUGAAUCCAGAAUGCAUGACAUUUUUGUUUUUUUAAUUGCAUUACAGAAAAUAAAGAACUUCAUCACAAUAUUCUAAUUUUCUGACAGUCCUGUAUAUGUGUAAUAUAUAUUUAUGUCUAUAUAUAUAUAUAUAUAUUUUAAAUAUUUGUAAAAAUGUGUUUAUGCUGAAUAUGUGUUCAUCUAUAUAUAUAAAAAUAA